rnacentral:rRNA from 1 species
AGGGAAUAUUGCGCAAUGGACGGAAGUCUGACGCAGCGACGCCGCGUGAGCGAUGAAGGCCUUCGGGUCGUAAAGCUCUGUCCUUGGGGAAGAAGGCGAAAGCUUGACGGUACCCAAGAAGAAAGCCCCGGCUAACUACGUGCCAGCAGCCGCGGUAAUACGUAGGGGGCGAGCGUUGUCCGGAAUUACUGGGCGUAAAGGGUGCGUAGGCGGCCCUUUAAGUCAGAUGUGAAAGCCCGCGGCUUAACCGCGGAACUGCAUUUGAAACUGGAGGGCUUGAGUGUCGGAGAGGGUAGUGGAAUUCCCAGUGUAGCGGUGAAAUGCGUAGAUAUUGGGAGGAACACCAGUGGCGAAGGCGACUACCUGGACGAUAACUGACGCUGAGGCACGAAAGCUAGGGGAGCAAAC